UGGUGCGAUCAUACCAGAACUAAUGCACCGGAUCCCAUCUAAACUCCGUAGUUAAGCUUGCUUGGGCGAGAGUAGUACUAAGAUAGGUGACCUUCUAGGAAGUCCUCGUGUUGGACCCU
rfam:Beta vulgaris subsp. vulgaris Bvchr4_un.sca029.con0011.1, whole genome shotgun sequence.